rnacentral:rRNA from 1 species
AGUGAACGCUGGCGGUAGGCCUAACACAUGCAAGUCGAACGGCAGCACAGGAGAGCUUGCUCUCUGGGUGGCGAGUGGCGGACGGGUGAGGAAUACAUCGGAAUCUACUCUGUCGUGGGGGAUAACGUAGGGAAACUUACGCUAAUACCGCAUACGACCUACGGGUGAAAGCAGGGGACCUUCGGGCCUUGCGCGAUUGAAUGAGCCGAUGUCGGAUUAGCUAGUUGGCGGGGUAAAGGCCCACCAAGGCGACGAUCCGUAGCUGGUCUGCGAGGAUGAUCAGCCACACUGGAACUGAGACACGGUCCAGACUCCUACGGGAGGCAGCGGUGGGGAAUAUUGGACAAUGGGAGCAAGCCUGAGCCAGCCAGACCGCGUGGGUGAAUGAGGCCUUCGGGUUGUAAAGCCCUUUUGGUGGGGAAGAAAUCCAGCUGGCUAAUACCCGGUUGGGAUGACGGUACCCAAAGAAUAAGCACCGGCUAACUUCGUGCCAGCCGCCGCGGUAA